rnacentral:rRNA from 1 species
GAUUAAGUUAUUAAGGGCGCACGGUGGAUGCCUUGGCACUAGAAGCCGAUGAAGGACGUUACUAACGACGAUAUGCUUUGGGGAGCUGUAAGUAAGCUUUGAUCCAGAGAUUUCCGAAUGGGGAAACCCAGCAUGAGUUAUGUCAUGUUAUCGAUAUGUGAAUACAUAGCAUAUCAGAAGGCACACCCGGAGAACUGAAACAUCUUAGUACCCGGAGGAAGAGAAAGAAAAUUCGACUCCCUUAGUAGCGGCGAGCGAAACGGGAAGAGCCCAAACCAACAAGCUUGCUUGUUGGGGUUGUAGGACACUCUAUACGGAGUUACAAAGGACGACAUUAGACGAAUCAUCUGGAAAGAUGAAUCAAAGAAGGUAAUAAUCCUGUAGUCGAAAAUGUUGUCUCUCUUGAGUGGAUCCUGAGUACGACGGAGCACGUGAAAUUCCGUCGGAAUCUGGGAGGACCAUCUCCUAAGGCUAAAUACUCUCUAGUGACCGAUAGUGAACCAGUACCGUGAGGGAAAGGUGAAAAGCACCCCGGAAGGGGAGUGAAAUAGAACCUGAAACCGUGUGCUUACAAGUAGUCAGAGCCCGUUAAUGGGUGAUGGCGUGCCUUUUGUAGAAUGAACCGGCGAGUUACGAUUUGAUGCAAGGUUAAGCAGUAAAUGUGGAGCCGUAGCGAAAGCGAGUCUGAAUAGGGCGUUUAGUAUUUGGUCGUAGACCCGAAACCAGGUGAUCUACCCUUGGUCAGGUUGAAGUUCAGGUAACACUGAAUGGAGGACCGAACCGACUUACGUUGAAAAGUGAGCGGAUGAACUGAGGGUAGCGGAGAAAUUCCAAUCGAACCUGGAGAUAGCUGGUUCUCUCCGAAAUAGCUUUAGGGCUAGCCUCAAGUGAUGAUUAUUGGAGGUAGAGCACUGUUUGGACGAGGGGCCCCUCUCGGGUUACCGAAUUCAGACAAACUCCGAAUGCCAAUUAAUUUAACUUGGGAGUCAGAACAUGGGUGAUAAGGUCCGUGUUCGAAAGGGAAACAGCCCAGACCACCAGCUAAGGUCCCAAAAUAUAUGUUAAGUGGAAAAGGAUGUGGCGUUGCCCAGACAACUAGGAUGUUGGCUUAGAAGCAGCCAUCAUUUAAAGAGUGCGUAAUAGCUCACUAGUCGAGUGACACUGCGCCGAAAAUGUACCGGGGCUAAACAUAUUACCGAAGCUGUGGAUUGUCCUUUGGACAAUGGUAGGAGAGCGUUCUAAGGGCGUUGAAGCAUGAUCGUAAGGACAUGUGGAGCGCUUAGAAGUGAGAAUGCCGGUGUGAGUAGCGAAAGACGGGUGAGAAUCCCGUCCACCGAUUGACUAAGGUUUCCAGAGGAAGGCUCGUCCGCUCUGGGUUAGUCGGGUCCUAAGCUGAGGCCGACAGGCGUAGGCGAUGGAUAACAGGUUGAUAUUCCUGUACCACCUAUAAUCGUUUUAAUCGAUGGGGGGACGCAGUAGGAUAGGCGAAGCGUGCGAUUGGAUUGCACGUCUAAGCAGUAAGGCUGAGUAUUAGGCAAAUCCGGUACUCGUUAAGGCUGAGCUGUGAUGGGGAGAAGACAUUGUGUCUUCGAGUCGUUGAUUUCACACUGCCGAGAAAAGCCUCUAGAUAGAAAAUAGGUGCCCGUACCGCAAACCGACACAGGUAGUCAAGAUGAGAAUUCUAAGGUGAGCGAGCGAACUCUCGUUAAGGAACUCGGCAAAAUGACCCCGUAACUUCGGGAGAAGGGGUGCUCUUUAGGGUUAACGCCCAGAAGAGCCGCAGUGAAUAGGCCCAAGCGACUGUUUAUCAAAAACACAGGUCUCUGCUAAACCGUAAGGUGAUGUAUAGGGGCUGACGCCUGCCCGGUGCUGGAAGGUUAAGAGGAGUGGUUAGCUUCUGCGAAGCUACGAAUCGAAGCCCCAGUAAACGGCGGCCGUAACUAUAACGGUCCUAAGGUAGCGAAAUUCCUUGUCGGGUAAGUUCCGACCCGCACGAAAGGCGUAACGAUUUGGGCACUGUCUCAACGAGAGACUCGGUGAAAUCAUAGUACCUGUGAAGAUGCAGGUUACCCGCGACAGGACGGAAAGACCCCGUGGAGCUUUACUGUAGCCUGAUAUUGAAAUUCGGCACAGCUUGUACAGGAUAGGUAGGAGCCUUUGAAACGUGAGCGCUAGCUUACGUGGAGGCGCUGGUGGGAUACUACCCUAGCUGUGUUGGCUUUCUAACCCGCACCACUUAUCGUGGUGGGAGACAGUGUCAGGCGGGCAGUUUGACUGGGGCGGUCGCCUCCUAAAAGGUAACGGAGGCGCUCAAAGGUUCCCUCAGAAUGGUUGGAAAUCAUUCAUAGAGUGUAAAGGCAUAAGGGAGCUUGACUGCGAGACCUACAAGUCGAGCAGGGUCGAAAGACGGACUUAGUGAUCCGGUGGUUCCGCAUGGAAGGGCCAUCGCUCAACGGAUAAAAGCUACCCCGGGGAUAACAGGCUUAUCUCCCCCAAGAGUUCACAUCGACGGGGAGGUUUGGCACCUCGAUGUCGGCUCAUCGCAUCCUGGGGCUGUAGUCGGUCCCAAGGGUUGGGCUGUUCGCCCAUUAAAGCGGUACGCGAGCUGGGUUCAGAACGUCGUGAGACAGUUCGGUCCCUAUCCGUCGUGGGCGUAGGAAAUUUGAGAGGAGCUGUCCUUAGUACGAGAGGACCGGGAUGGACAUACCUCUGGUGUACCAGUUGUCGUGCCAACGGCAUAGCUGGGUAGCUAUGUGUGGACGGGAUAAGUGCUGAAAGCAUCUAAGCAUGAAGCCCCCCUCAAGAUGAGAUUUCCCAACUUCGGUUAUAAGAUCCCUCAAAGAUGAUGAGGUUAAUAGGUUCGAGGUGGAAGCAUGGUGACAUGUGGAGCUGACGAAUACUAAUCGAUCGAAGACUUAAUCAA